GCUCGCAUAGCUCAGUUGGUUAGAGCGUGGUGCUAAUAACGCCAAGGUCGCAGGUUCGACCCCUGUUGUGAGCA